UACGUAGGGCGCAAGCGUUGUCCGGAAUUAUUGGGCGUAAAGAGCGUGUAGGCGGCCAGAAAAGUCCGCUGUGAAAACUCGAGGCUCAACUUCGAGCUGUCGGUGGAAACUUUCUGGCUAGAGUCCGGAAGAGGAGAAUGGAAUUCCUGGUGUAGCGGUGAAAUGCGCAGAUAUCAGGAAGAACACCGGUGGCGAAGGCGGGUCUCUGGGCCGAUACUGACGCUGAGGAGCGAAAGCGUGGGGAGCGAACAGG
rnacentral:rRNA from 1 species